GACAGAGGGUGCAAACGUUGUUCGGAAUUACUGGGCGUAAAGCGCGUGUAGGCUGUUUUGCAAGUCGGAUGUGAAAGCCCUGGGCUCAACCUAGGAAGUGCACUCGAAACUGCAGAACUGGAGCCUGGAGAGGAAGGCGGAAUUCUCGGUGUAGAGGUGAAAUUCGUAGAUAUCGAGAGGAACACCGGUGGCGAAGGCGGCCUUCUGGACAGUGACUGACGCUGAGACGCGAA
rnacentral:rRNA from 1 species